rnacentral:piRNA from 1 species
UGAGCUGGCGGAAGGGAGCAGGACGU